GAGAAACGCUGGCGGCGCACAUAAGACAUGCAAGUCGAACGGAGAUUAUAUGAAAUGUUUACAUGGAAUAUAAUUUUAGUGGCGGACGGGUGAGUAACACGUGAGUAACCUGCCUUUGAGAGGGGGAUAACAUUGAGAAAUCAGUGCUAAUACCGCAUAAUGCAAUUCAUUCGCAUGAAAGAAUUGCCAAAAGAGAAAUCUGCUCAAAGAUGGACUCGCGGCUGAUUAGUUAGUUGGUGGGGUAACGGCCUACCAAGACGAUGAUCAGUAGCCGAGCUGAGAGGCUCAACGGCCACAUUGGGACUGAGACACGGCCCAGACUCCUACGGGAGGCAGCAGUCGGGAAUAUUGCACAAUGGAGGAAACGUACUGAUGCAGUGACGCCGCGUACAGGAAGAAGGUCUUUGGAUUGUAAACUGUUGUCGAAAGGG
rnacentral:rRNA from 1 species